UACGUAGGGUGCAAGCGUUAAUCGGAAUUACUGGGCGUAAAGCGUGCGCAGGCGGUCUUGCAAGACAGAUGUGAAAUCCCCGGGCUCAACCUGGAACUGGCAUUUGUGACUGCAAGGCUGGAGUACGGUAGAGGGGGAUGGAAUUCCGCGUGUAGCAGUGAAAUGCGUAGAGAUGCGGAGGAACACCGAUGGCGAAGGCAGCCCCCCUGGGCCGACACUGACGCCUCAGGCACGAAAGCGUGGGGAGCAAACAGG
rnacentral:rRNA from 1 species